UACAGAGGGUGCGAGCGUUGUUCGGAAUUACUGGGCGUAAAGCGCGCGCAGGCGGCUCUUUAAGUCUACCCGUGAAAUGCCGGAGCUCAACUCCGUGCCCGCCGGGGGAUACUGGAGAGCUGGAGACAUGUAGAGGCAAGCGGAAUUCCGGGUGUAGCGGUGGAAUGCGUAGAGAUCCGGAAGAACACCGGAGGCGAAGGCGGCUUGCUGGGCAUGGUCUGACGCUGAGGCGCGAAAGCGUGGGGAGCGAACAGG
rnacentral:rRNA from 1 species